AAGACAAAAUCAUUUGUUUACAGUAAAAACAUCUUAGCUUCCCAUGCAAGCAUUGUGAGCUGUGGUCUCACCUUAUCAGCUGUCAUCCUCUAGGACACUAGGAAAUAUCCCAGAGCCUCUUCCUUAGUGCCCUUUAAGAUAAAAGCAUCAAGAGCCACCAAAAUGGCAAAAACAACAGAGCAAGCUCUCCUUGGGGAAGCCCCACACCUCCUUGUUUUUAAUAUCCAAGGCUUAAAAUCUAUAUUAAAACCUUGUCUAAUAAAAGCCAACACUGCUUCAUACUACCACAUCCUGGAAGUCAUCUUCUGUGGCCAGCUAAGGAUACAGAUUUACCUUAGUCAAGAUCCCUAAAGGCUGCCAUAGGUGACAGUGUAGUGUCUUCUUACUUGCAGCUGCUGCUGAGUUCCGGAGACUGGAAAUUCCCAGCUGUCAGUGGCUCACCAUGUCUCCGAGACCUAAGGACCAAUGGCUGCCUCAGCAGACAUGUGCACAGCCAGAUAGCAUCAAGGAACAGAAUGGCAGCCCUUUUAAUGAUCUUGCUCCACCUCAGAAAAAUGGAGCUGCAGAAUUUGGG
rnacentral:lncRNA from 1 species